rnacentral:ncRNA from 1 species
CAAAGGUUUGGUCCUGGCCUUUUUAUUAAUUAUAGGUAAACUUAUACAUGCAAGUAUCAGCACCCCAGUGAGAAUGCCCUUGAAAUCCUACCGACCUAAAGGAGCAGGUAUCAAGCACACUUAAACGUAGCUUAAAACGCCUUGCUAAGCCACACCCCCACGGGAGCACAGCAGUAAUAAAAAUUGAGCAAUAAACGAAAGUUUGACUAAGUUAUACACGCUAGGGUCGGCCAAUUUCGUGCCAGCCGCCGCGGUCAUACGAAUAACCCAAAUUAAUAAUCUCCGGCGUAAAGUGUGCUUAAGAUAAAUAAAUAAAUAAAACUGACUUCUUCUUAUGUUGUAAAAAACUCAUAGAAGCUAAGAACCCAUUAACGAAGGUAACUUUAUAAAGUCUGAUGCACGAUAGCUAAGAGACAAACUGGGAUUAGAUACCCCACUAUGCUUAGCCUUAAACCAAGGUUUUUAUAAACAAAAUUACCCGCCAGAGGACUACUAGCAAAAGCUUAAAACUCAAAGGACUUGGCGGUGCUUCACACCCAACUAGAGGAGCCUGUUAUAUAAUCGAUAAUCCACGAUAUACCUCACCACUACUAGCUACUACAGUCUAUAUACCGCCAUCUUCAGCAAACCCUUAAAAGGAUUAAUAGUAAGCCUAAUAAUAAAACAUAAAAACGUUAGGUCAAGGUGUAACCUAUGUAGUGGGUAUAAAUGGGCUACAUUCUCUACCUAAGAGAACCACGGAUACCUUUACUGAAAAAUAGUUGAAGGAGGAUUUAGCAGUAAAUUAAGAACAGAGAGCUUAAUUGAAUUAUGGCCAUGAAGCACGCACACACCGCCCGUCACCCUCCUCAAAAAACAUAAUAACUAAACCAAAUUUUAGUAAACGCAUAUGCAGAGGAGAUAAGUCGUAACAAGGUAAGUAUACUGGAAAGUGUGCUUGGAAAACU